GACAAACGCUGGCGGGGUGCAUGAGACAUGCAAGUCGAACGGGGUGGCCAUCGGGCGUUGCUCGAUGGUUACCUAGUGGCGGACGGCUGAGUAACGCGUAGGUGACCUACCCGGAAGUGGGGAAGUAACUGCCCGAAAGGGUGGCUAAUACCGCAUGUGGUCGGCGAUUCGGUUCGCCGUCCAAAGGAGUAAUCCGCUUCCGGCGGGGCCUGCGUCCGAUUAGCUAGUUGGUGGGGUAACGGCUCACCAAGGCGACGAUCGGUAGCUGGUCUGAGAGGAUGA
rnacentral:rRNA from 1 species